rnacentral:sRNA from 2 species
UCAGGUAUACACCGGGUUUCAUGAAUCUCCCGACGUCUCCUUGGACUCCUUGUCCUUCUUGCGUUUUCUCUUUUCAUCCUCGGUGAAUUUCUCGUCCUUCUCCUUCUCGAUCGAUCGGUGCUCGUCGUCUCUCCUUGACCUCUCUUCAUCGAGGACAUCCUUUACGUCUUCACCCACGUCGCGCGUCUCGUCCCAGUCAACGUCGUAUUCAACCGCAAUCACUCGGAUCUCCCUCCUCAGCGCGUUUGCGUCCUGCACCAACUGCUCCCACCGCUCAAUGUCGAAGCCCUUCAUCUCGUACAGGGCAUGCUGCCUUCUCGAAACCGUGACAUUCAUGGCAGCCUUGUAACUGAGGUCCUUAUUGAUAUAGAGGAACCACAGAUAACCACCCAUGAUAGUCGUCAGUCCCGCCAGACGCUGGCGCAUGUAGUAUGUCCGGUCCCCGAACGAGGGAACACUCACGCGCAUCUCAAUGUUAUACCCUUCGAUUUCGAUGGCAAACUCUCGGCCGCGCGCUGCGUCCCGAAUAAAGUCGCCCAUUUCGGUACUGCUGCUCCACCGCACCCAUCUCUUAUCUUGGGAACUCCGCUUGGGGCCUCGGUGGCCAAGUCCGGAAUAGGAGGCCACGUGUGACAGGUUGGUAUUGUACUCGCUAGGCUCCCCGCCAUCGUCCUUGGAUCUCGCUUCGGCGCGGCUCGUGGGUUUCUGGUCGCCUUGCUCGGAAUCUUCGGCUCGGAAGUAAACGUUGGGGAUUUUCUCCUGGCCAUUUUCGACCACAGGCGGCAGCUCGGCUUGGAUCAGGCGUUCGACGUAGGAAAGUGGCUGUUGUGGGUGUAUAAGCAGAGCGAGUGGCUGGAUGUCGCUGUUGAGUGAUAUCGAGCGGCCGUACUCAUUGUUACGGCCAUUGUUCUUUUGGUCCUUUUCGACACGAAGGGGUAGAGGAAGUAUGAGUUUGAGGAGACGAGUGGGCGUUGUCAGCAGCUUGCCUAGCGAGCAAAAUGGUCAGUGAUGGGUUCUGACGGAGUAACGCAUUCUCCAAGUCUGCAGUUGCUUAUUACCUUUUGCUAUGGGGUCGGCAUUGCCUUCGACCGGAGGCUUAUCGGCACCUUCGCGAUGCCAUGGGCGUCUUACUUGUUGCUCGCGCGCCCUGACCUCCUCUUCGUGUUCAUCAAGCCGUUUCUGAUCCAGUUUCUUGGCUUUUGCUUCGGCUUCUGUUUCCCUGGUCUUGGGCGACACCGAGGUAGAGGCUUGUCUCAGUGCGACAUUGGAUAUCCUAGGACGGUGAAGGGUGAGAUUCUUCUGGGGUGAUUCAAGGCACCAGCGGGCCAGAGUAUUGGAAGAUGGCAUUAAGCGGCAUUGUAGCCGCAUGCGCACGCAGUUCAUAGUUGCAGCUGGUCUGUAGAGGUAUGUAUGUGCAAGCAAAGGUCGUUAUAUGUUGGAUUGCAUAGGUGAGUACAUGCGACUAUUUGAGGGUACCAUCCGCAACGGCAAUUAAAGUUGUCGCAAAACGAGUCGUCGUAAUGAUGGUAAUGACGGGAGGUAGGACAUGAACUACUGUAGUAGGAAAAGUCCAAAGCGAGGAAGAAGAGAAGGUUGGAUCGGGAGAUGGGACGAACACCGACAAACGGGAUCACUGUCAGAACUUUAAACCCAGGUAGAGUAAAAACACUGCCCCCGUC